UACGAAGGGGGGCUAGCGUUGCUCGGAAUCACUGGGCGUAAAGCGCACGUAGGCGGCUUCUCAAGUCAGGGGUGAAAUCCUGGAGCUCAACUCCAGAACUGCCUUUGAUACUGAGGGGCUCGAGUCCGGGAGAGGUGAGUGGAACUGCGAGUGUAGAGGUGAAAUUCGUAGAUAUUCGCAAGAACACCAGUGGCGAAGGCGGCUCACUGGUCCGGUACUGACGCUGAGGUGCGAAAGCGUGGGGAGCAAACAGG
rnacentral:rRNA from 1 species